GGGGCGGUAGCUCAACAGGUCAGAGCAGCGGGCUCAUAACCCGUCAGGUUCCGGGUUCGAAUCCCGGCCGCCCUA
rnacentral:tRNA from 1 species